rnacentral:rRNA from 1 species
GAUGAACGCUGGCGGCGUGCCUAAUACAUGCAAGUCGAGCGAACGGACGAGAAGCUUGCUUCUCUGAUGUUAGCGGCGGACGGGUGAGUAACACGUGGAUAACCUACCUAUAAGACUGGGAUAACUUCGGGAAACCGUAGCUAAUACCGGAUAAUAUUUUGAACCGCAUGGUUCAAUAGUGAAAGACGGUCUUGCUGUCUCUUAUAGAUGGAUCCGCGCUGCAUUAUCUAGUUGGUAAGGUAACGGCUUACCAAGGCAACGAUGCAUAGACGACGUGAGAGGGGGAUCGGCCACCUGGGAACUGAGCAACGGUCAAGACUCCUACGGGAGGCAGCAGUAGGGAAUCUGCCGCAAUGGGCGAAAGCCUGACGGAGCAACGGCGCGUCAGUGAUGAAGGUCUUCGGAUCGUAAAACUCUGUUAUUAGGGAAGAACAUAUGUGUACGUAACUGUGCACAUCUUGACGGUACCUAAUCAGAAAGCCACGGCUAACUACGUG